rfam:Clostridium botulinum A str. ATCC 3502 complete genome
CUCUUAUCAAGAGAGGUGGAGGGAAAAGGGCCCUAUGAAACCCGGCAACCAGUGAUAUUCACUAAGGUGCCAAUUCCUGCAGUAUUAUCUGCAAGAUAAGAG